rnacentral:rRNA from 1 species
AUGAGGCUCUCCUCAGCAUCUCUGUCCAUCUCAAAGAGAGAAGCAUUACGGAAUUUUGCUGAGUGGCUAUUACGAGUUGGAAAUGGCACUGAGCCUUAUAUUCCUAUUCCAAAUGACCCCAACAACAUAUUUAUAGAGAUACCCCAUUACCUCCAUUUGUCCACAGAGUCUAGAAAUAUAGAUGGAUUGAUUUCAUUUGUCCAUGACUUAGGCUGUGAAUCUGCUAACAAUACAUCAUAUUUGUGUGAUCGUGCAAUUCUUGCACCCACCAAUGAUGUUGUUUCUAAAAUAAAUAGCAGAAUGAUUUCUCAGCUACCAACAAGUGAAAUGUCAUAUUAUAGUGCAGAUUCAAUUGACGACAGUUGCCCUAAUCAUUCUACUCUAGAGGCAUUAUAUCCGACUGAGUUUCUAAACAAGCUUGAGAUACCCGGUCUUCCAGACCAUGUAUUGCAUUUGAAAAUUGGUGUUCCUAUCAUGCUACUUCGUAAUCUUGAUCCAUCAAGAGGGCUUUCUAAUGGCACUAGACUCGUUGUUACACAACUAACAGGUCGUGUAAUAGAAGGACAAAUCAUAACAGGAAAAGCUAUAGGUUCAAGAGUAUAUAUUCCUAGAAUUGUCACUACGUCAGCUCAGUCUAAGUGGCCUUUCAAAGGCAACAUGGCACAAAUGAGUGUGCCCAAAAAAUUUGAAAAACAGUUUCGUGGAUUGCUAUCAAAAAGAUCUGUCUACAUUAUUUCAGAUAUUGCAGCUAUUGAUAACAGAAGCAAAUCAUAUGUCUACCACCAUCAGAACUACAUGUUACAAUUCAAACAUGACACAAAGGUCCAUGCAUUGCACUCAAGAGGAGAAAAUAUACCUACUGUUUCCUUCAACUUUUGCCCAUUUGAUCAGCUCCCAAGAAAAGCAAUUGAUUCAAAACCAAUCCUUGAUAUUAUUGGAGUAAUAAGUGAUGUUGGUCCAUACGAUUAUGCUAGCCCAACAUCUCAGAACAAACUUCGAAAGAUAAAAAUUCGAAACCUAGAUGAACAAACGCAAGAAGUAGUUCUGUGGGGCAAACAUGGAGAAUCAUUUGAUGAAGAAGUAGUACUUAAAAAAUCUCUAGAAGGAAUUGUGAUAGCUAUUUUUGCUGGUAUAACUGCAACUUCACAGAAGUUUACAGGUACAAUACAAGGAUCUUCAAGUUCUGCAACACAGGUGUAUCUUGACCUCAAUAUACCUGAAGUUCAACAGUAUCGUAGCAGUGCACUGCAGCCAGAGGCCCCCUUCAACAAUAAACCUCCAAGUGAUAACCACACACCUAUCACUACAAAGGAAAGUGAAUCUAGUUCCGAAGUAAAAAGAAGGAUUGGUUUUGACAAGGAUGCUGCCAACAACUCUAACAAUUUCCUGCUCAAUGCAAUCAAAUUUCUGAAUGCAGCUCAAAAAGCACAGAUAGUCCUCUUUCGAAAAGGCAAAAGCAACUUCCACAAUGCUCAUACUGGCAGCUUCCACAAUGCUCAUACGGCCAACUUCGACAAUGCUCCAAACGACAAAUAA